AAAUAAGAAGCGAAUCAUUGCAGUCAGUUUCGACCUGAAAAAUUGGUAAAACAUACCCUUAUUUA
rnacentral:tRNA from 2 species